UGGGGCAGGUUUCCCAGGAUGGGGCCAGGGGAAGGCGUAAAGAGGGGCUGGGUUUCCCGGGAUGGGGUCAGGAGAGGCACGAAGGGGCUGGGUUUCCCGGGAUGGGGUCAGGAGAGGCACGAAGGGGCUGGGUUUCCCGGGAUGGGGUCAGGAGAGGCACGAAGGGGCUGGGUUUCCCAGAGGCCCCGGAGCCGCUCCUGCUGUGGGGGAGGCCCGGGACAUUUGUCCUCCUGCCCGGCUGCCUUCCAGACGUGGGGGUUUCGGCGGUGCCUUGGCUUUGUCCCGUGUACAACUUACUUUAAAUCUUCUCCGUCCCCGUUUCUGUUGCCUGUUGUUCCUCACGUUUCUUUCCUGCCUCGCAGUUGCUCGGGCAGACGCUGAGCUGUGAAACAGGAGGGUUGGGAACGCAGUGAACAAUGGGUGGGGGGUGAAGAGCGGCUGCUGGCACCUGGGGAGUUGUGUAGUGGAGUUGGCUAAUCGUGUAAUGUGUCGAAUUUUUUAGAGGCUCCUGGGGAAAAAAAGAAAGGGGAGGUUUUAAUUUAUGUGAAAAUCACCCUCCUGGCAUUCCAGCUGCUCCUCAGGUAUCAGAGGGGCUGGCAGAGCCGGGUUUAGCUUCUGAGCCGUGGCCAGUUCAGCAGCAGACAUGCAGAGCUGGUGUGGCACUGGAAGGAGAUGACCUUUGGAGCUCCUUCCAACCCAGCCCACCCCGUGGUUCUGUGCUGGUGGAUACAGGAGAUUUUCUCUCCAGCAUGCAGAGUGAGAUGCAUGCACAGCGUCUCAGAGAAGCAGAGUCACAGAAUACCCUCGGCUGGAAGGGACCCACAAGGAUCAUCGAGCUGAACUCCUGUCCCUGCACAGGACACCCCAAUAAUCCCAGCAUGUGUCUGAAAACAUUGCCUGAAAGCUUCUGGGACUGUGGCAGGCUUGGGACCAUUACCUGCCCUGGGGGAGCCUGACCACCGUCUGGGUGAGGAGCCUUUUCCUAAAGUCCAGCAUAAACUCCACUG